rnacentral:rRNA from 1 species
AUGACAGAAGUUCAGGUUGAGCUCGAUUGUCAGUGCCUAGUGAACGCCCUGCAAGGCAGUGAUGCAGAUUUAGUAGCCGAGGGUAUCUUAUUCAGAGAAAUCCGACACUUUGCCCGUCUGAAUUUCAAUCACGUCUCCUUUUUGUUUGCCCCGAGGGCCUGUCAUAACUUAGCUCGUCUAAUAGCAGCUUUUGGUGCCCGUAGGCUUGUUAGUCGGGAACUAUGGCCUGAGAGCCUCCCGGAUGAUGUAUUGGUUCGUAAGGCCAGCGGCAUGGCUGGACCUGUGUGA